GGAGUCGGUCGGACGGCGGCCCCGGCCUCGGCCGGGGAGGAAAGUCCGGGCUCCGAAGGGCAAGGCGCCGGGGGCAACCCCGGGCGGAGCGAUCCGACGGAAAGUGCCACAGAAACCAGACCGCCCGCCCCCGCCACGGCGGAGGCGAGCAAGGGUGAAAAGGUGGGGUAAGAGCCCACCGGCGCGCUCGGCAACGGGCGCGGCCGGGCAAACCCCGCCCGGAGCAAGGCCGAAUAGGGGAGCUACGCGGUGGCCCGCCGCGCUCCCGGGUAGGCCGCAUAGAUAGAUCGCCGUACAAAGACAGAACCCGGCUUACAGACCGACUCCCAAC
rnacentral:RNase_P_RNA from 1 species